rnacentral:lncRNA from 12 species
AUGUGUGGGCGUCAGGAACCUCUGCAGGUAUCCUGUAACGUUACGUCAUUAGCUCAGGUAAGGAGCGCUGGGGAAAGAAUCUGGGAAGGUAGGCCUACAUGGAAAUACACCAUGCAGUUCUGGAGUUUUCUAAGCUGUACCAGUGCAGAUAUUUCAAGGAUCUCAUAUUAUGCAGGUAAGACAAGCUCUUGUACUCCCUCUCUUUCUCUCUGAAAUGGAUUUCAAAUUGAUGGGGGGAAGUGACAACCUAAACUUAAUUCACCAUUUACUGAAUGUGAAUUGGGUAUCCUGAAUAAAGCAGAUCACAUUCUGUUCCAAAGCCUGUCAGCUGCCUUUGGGCUGCCUGUAUGACAAUGGAGCUGAAUUUUAAUUCUUCCUUUUCUCAUUUGAUGUAUUAUUCAUUUAUGUAAAGAACAAAAACACUUUUUAAUGAUGUAAGUGUUUGAGUUUGGGUUAUAGCUGUAAUUUUAGGUGAUCACCCCCUCAAUUUAGUGGCAUCAAGAAAUUUUGUUCAAGUGUAGAUGUGUAGUUUACAGGUGCAUUCUCAAUUCAUUCAUCAUUUUCCAAGGUAUUGCAACAUUGUCCAAACACAUUCAAGAUGCCCCACCAAUCAGCUGAUGUUUCAUAUUUUUAACCUUGAUUCUUCCCAUCGCCAAGGACAUUACUGUUGGAAGAAAGGAGGGCCUUUUUAGACAGCAGGUUUCCUGUGUGUCUGUAUGGCAUCUAUGGAGACCAUUAUUAAGCACAAAAUGGGGCCUAUUAGCUGAUAUUUGAGAAUGCAGUUAGUAUAGCAGGAAGUGACCUGUUUGCCCUCCCUAAAUGGAACGAGUGCUUGGAAUGGUAAUGAAUAUCUCUGGCAAACAUGGCAAGCUGAAACUGUUAAAUAACAGCAAAUCAUUUUCUGAGUUAUGCUUUGCAAUCAGAAGUUAGUUAUGACUUGGAUUAUAAGCACAGAAUAACACUCAAAUCUACUGGUAUGAUUUAACAGUUAUUCCUGUAUUAAGACCUUUGUGUGUGGUGCAUCACUCUAUUUAUAAAAAAAAAAUAUAUAUAUAUAAUUGUAUUUUAGGCUCAGUACUUUCUUCAAAUUCUAAUUUAUACUGUAACAAUCUCACUUGCUCUUUGUCUGGCUCUAUUUCUGCUUUAUAUUUCAACCUAUUUUAGCAAAACUUUAAUAUAGACAGAUUGCAAUGUUAUUACAGACUGAAUUAUAGUAAAUCUCUAAUGUAAUUUCCCAUAGAUAGAGUAAACCAGUCAGAUCAAGGACUUAACUGUAGAUACUAAGCUGAAAUGGCAUGUUUGGGAUUACACAAAAAUGCUGAAAUAUUUCUUCAGUACAUUGCCAAAGUACUUUUAUAGACCGAUUUCUUCAUGUUCAUCAGCAUAAAUAAUUCUGCAAGUAAUGCAAAUCGCAAAAGCUGAUGAUGCACUCAUUUGCUUAAUAAACCAUUUAUUAAAUCAUUUAUUUAUGUGCAUCUUUGCAAGUAUGGGCUGUUGUCAAAAACAGGAAACCGACUUCCUUCCUUGAGCCUUUGUCAGGUAGCUGACAGACAUUCCUUCAGUCCCUCUCCACAUGAAUCUCAGCGAGCAGCCCACUGCUGUCCACAGAUAUCCUCUUAGUGAAGCAUAUAAUACUUCUACCAUCAUUCAUAAGGUGAUUAGGGGUUUUUAGAAACAGUAAUGCUUUGUAUUUAAAUAUGCAACACAAUCCCAAGAAUGUAAACAGAAGCCGGACCGCCCAGCUGAAUAAUCCUGGUCAAACACACACCCUGAAAAACCUGAUCGGCUGCAUCUUCUGGCUCGGUGGUCUGUGUUUUGUAAACAUGAGCUGGUCAGCCAGUAGCAGUUGGUUUCACAGAAUUAAUUAGCAUAUUUAAAGAGGCCCCUCCUCUUAUUUCAGUUGGCCGGAUUCUUUCUCUCUCUCUCAUCCCUCCCUCGUAAGCACACUUUCUUUCCUGACACACUCUGCCGGAUUGUGAAAAUCACACACGCCGUCACCGCAGCGUCUCUAUUAAUCUGGAUGAACUUUAGAAAGGCAGCUAAAAGGAAGCGUUUUAGCAUGUGAGGAUUACUCUUGUCAACAUUUCUGAUUUUGUUCCAGCCUCGCCUGCUUCAUCCAUUCUUUGGAUUACUCUGAAAGCUGUGGGAUUUCCCUGUCACUUCUGGAUCUUUUUCCACUUCUCUUGCUGGUGGUUUUCAAAAAGCGCUGCUGAGGGAAACAAGAGCGGCACGCCUCACGUUUUCGCAUAUCUACCUGCCAUCCUCAUUCCUCAUCCUAGCUGAUCACUUCAUAUUUGCGCACUCCUGGAUUAGCGCUUCGGUCAGCUGACCAAUCACCUUCUUGCGACCUCACACCACGCCUCAUCCCAGGCCUCUGAGGGCCAUCCCCGGUGGCCUAGUCACAGUGCGUUGCGGUGGGCCGGGGUCGCCCCCUGCUCCCUAUGACUGUGCCAGGGAGACAGAGAGCCGCUGGGCCUGGGAGAGAG